rnacentral:rRNA from 1 species
UGCCAGCAGCCGCGGUAAGACAGAGGGUGCAAACGUUGUUCGGAAUUACUGGGCGUAAAGCGCGUGUAGGCUGUUACGCAAGUCGGAUGUGAAAGCCCAGGGCUCAUCCCUGGAAGUACAUUCGAAACUGCGUGACUGGAAUCUCGGAGAGGGUAGCGGAAUUCUGGGUGUAGAGGUGAAAUUCGUAGAUAUCCAGAGGAACACCGGUGGCGAAGGCGACUUGCUGGAUCGAUACUGACGCUGAGGUGCGAAAGCGUGGGGAGCAAACAGGAUUAGAUG